GGCAGUAGCAGAGAUCACUCUGAAAUUUGAGCACAGAGAUUUACACUGGGGUAAUGUGUUAAUAAAGAAGACAUCAGAAAAGCAUAUUACUUUCAAAUUAAGUGGAAAGGAAUUUUCAGUUCCAGCAAAUGGAAUAAAGGUCACAGUUAUAGAUUACACUUUAUCGAGAAUGUCAUAUGUUGGCUGUUGCAUUUUCAAUGAUCUGGCUGUGGACCCAGUCCUUUUCAUCUCACAAGGAGAUUAUCAGUUUGAAGUGUACCGCUUAAUGCAAAAUACAGUGAAAAAUGAAUGGAGAAAUUUCAGGCCCUACACGAAUAUUCUUUGGUUGCACUACACCUUGGGCAAAAUGUUGCAAGGUGUCAAUUACAAAAACAUCUCCACAAAGAUUCACAAGAAAUUUAGAACAAAGCUAGAUAACUGUUAUAAUGAUGUACUGAAGUAUAAUAGUGCUCAUGAUUUAGUGACUAACGGGAAUU